CAUUAGGAAGCUAAACUAUUGGACACAAGCGCUGGACUUUUAAUCCAGAAUUUGGUGACUCCCGACCACCCCUAAUGA
rnacentral:tRNA from 1 species